rnacentral:tRNA from 1 species
AAGGUUUUAGCUUAAUUAAAGUGUCUGUUUUGCAUACAGGAGAUGUGGGUUAAUUGCCUGCAAGUCUUA